AUGAUCCUCGACAAGCUAGACGCACGCACAACAAUAACCACCACUGUCCUUUCAAAGUGGUGGUUGGAUCUUCCUCGGCGAUCGCAUGCAUGCUAUGACCUUUCCGUUUAUGAUAUCCUCCCUCCAGGCUACCACAGGCCGAAGAAAAUAACUGUCGAGACUAAGGCCAGGUAUGAGGCGGUGAAGAGGACACAAAAUUUGACUGACAUUUCUGACAAGUACGAAAGGUAUUAUGCUGUCAAAGAUCGGCGUGAGCGGUUGAUGUGGAAAGUCCAUCUGCUCACACCUAUCCUGCAACGCUAUGAGCGUCUGGCCAUGCGAUGCUAUGUUAAACGGGUGAAUGCAUUCCUUCUACCUCCCGAUAAUGUUCAGCGGCCGUCUAUCCAGAAGCUGAGGCUUCAAACCUUUAGUAGGUGCGGUUUUCAGCAAUGGUUUACGGCAGCGGUUGGCAGAUGGGGGGUUGAAGAUUUAGAGAUUGUCGUCGAACUCUUGCCAGCAAUUUGGAUUCCGUCUAUUGGAUAG
rnacentral:rRNA from 1 species